AAUAAAGUGCCUGAGCCAAAGGGUCAUUUUGAUAGAAUGAAUAACGUAAAUUUUAUUUUACCUUUAUUA
rnacentral:tRNA from 1 species